rnacentral:pre_miRNA from 1 species
AUAGUACUCCCUCCAUUCGGAAUUACUCGUCAAAAAAAUGAAUGUAUCUAUAACUAAAAUACAUCUAAAUACAUUCAUUUCUUGGACGAGUAAUUCCGAAUGGAGGGAGUAUAAU